rnacentral:rRNA from 1 species
AUGGUAAUUAAGGCUCAACAAAAUGGCUUGCUUAAGGGUUUAGCGGAUGACAUGAUUCCAAAUGGGGUAGCCAUUUUACAGUAUGCGGAUGAUACAAUUUUAUGCUUUGAAGAUAAUCCUAUAAAUGCUCUUAAUAUCAAGUUGCUCUUAUAUCUUUUUGAAAUCAUGUCUGGGCUAAAAAUCAAUUUCUUGAAAAGUGAGUUUUCGGUUCGUGUUGAUGAUGAUACUAUGCAAAUGUACGCCGAGAUGUUUAAUUGCCAAAUGGGUUCUUUCCCUAGUAAAUACCUAGGAAUGCCCGUUAGCUAUGCUGGUUUGCAAUGCAUUGAUUGGCUAUUUGUUGAUGAUAAAAUCAUUGACCGAUGUGAUAAUUGGAUUAGUGAAGUGCUCUCUAUAGGAGGAAGGCUUAUAAAAGUGAAUUAUGUGAUGUCACAUGUCCCUACUUUUUACAUGUCUAUGAUCUUGCUAAAUAAAACCACUUUGGAGAGGUGGCACAAACCUAGAAGAAAAAUUUCCUGGCAUAGUAAAGGGAAGAAAGGGUUCUCAUAUGGUAAAGUGGAGUCGUAUUUGUAG